rnacentral:rRNA from 1 species
GAUGAACGCUGGCGGCGUGCCUAAUACAUGCAAGUCGAGCGAACAGACGAGGAGCUUGCUCCUCUGACGUUAGCGUCGGACGGGUGAGUAACACGUGGAUAACCUACCUAUAAGACUGGGAUAACUUCGUGAAACCGGAGCUAAUACCGGAUAAUAUAUUGAACCGCAUGGUUCAAUAGUUAAAGACGGUUUUGCUGUCACUUAUAGAUGGAUCCGCUCCGCAUUAGCUAGUUGGUAAGGUAACGGCUUACCAAGGCAACGAUGCGUAGCCGACCUGAGAGGAUGAUCGGCCACACUGGAACUGAGACACGGUCCAGACUCCUACGGGAGGCAGCAGUAGGGAAUAUUCCGCAAUGGGCGAAAGCCUGACGGAGCAACGCCGCGUGAGUGAUGAAGGUCUUCGGAUCGUAAAACUCUGUUAUUAGGGAAGAACAAAUGUGUAAGUAACUAUGCACGUCUUGACGGUACCUAAUCAGAAAGCCACGGCUAACUACGUG